UACGUAGGGACCAAGCGUUGUUCGGAUUUACUGGGCGUAAAGGGCGCGUAGGCGGCAAAUUAAGUCAGCUGUGAAAUCUCCGAGCUUAACUCGGAACUGUCAGCUGAUACUGAUGUGCUAGAGUUCGGUAGGGGAGACUGGAAUUCCUGGUGUAGCGGUGAAAUGCGCAGAUAUCAGGAGGAACACCGGUGGCGAAGGCGGUUCUCUGGGCCUGUACUGACGCUGAGGAACGAAAGCGUGGGGAGCGAACAGG
rnacentral:rRNA from 1 species